GGAGCAGGCGAGGUGACCGCUCGCCCAUCUUCGGUGCGAGAGGAAAGUCCGAGCUCCAUAGGGCAGGGUGGUGGGUAACGCCCACCGGGAGCAAUCCUAGGGAAAGUGCCACAGAAAAUAUACCGCCCGUCAUUUGGUUCGAGGAAACGAACCCCUGUCUAAAGACGAUAGGUGACGGGUAAGGGUGAAAAGGCGGGGUAAGAGCCCACCGCGGCCCUGGUGACAGGACCGGCAAGGUAAACCCCACCCGGAGAAAGGCUAAAUAGAGGGGAAUGAAGCGGCCCGCUUCGUUACUACCCCCGGGUAAGCCGUUUGAGGUACGCCGUAAGGCGUAUCCUAGAUUAAUGGUCACCCACGACAAAACUCGGCUUAUUGCCUGCUCCCAGG
rfam:Planctomycetes bacterium RIFCSPLOWO2_02_FTLL_50_16 rifcsplowo2_02_scaffold_4306, whole genome shotgun sequence.